AGGACGAACGCUGGCGGCGUGGAUUAGGCAUGCAAGUUGAGCGACGGAUGGACUUCGGUUCAUUACGGAGCAGCGAACGGGUGAGUAACACGUGAACAAUCUGUCCCUUCAUUCCGGAUAAUUGGAAGAAAUUCCUUGUAAUACGGGCGAGGGUCCUUGGGGUGCAUACUUUGAGGAAGGAAGGCGCAAGCCGUGCAGGGAGGAGUUCGCGGCCUAUCAGUUAGUUGGUGGGUAACGGCCUACCAAGACUACGACGGGUAGCUGGU
rnacentral:rRNA from 1 species